rnacentral:rRNA from 1 species
CACGUAGGGGGCGAGCGUUGUCCGGAUUUAUUGGGCGUAAAGAGCUCGUAGGUGGCUCGGUAAGUCGGGUGUGAAAUUUCGAGGCUCAACCUCGAGAUGCCACCUGAUACUGCUGUGGCUAGAGUCCGGUAGGGGAGCGUGGAAUUCCUGGUGUAGCGGUGAAAUGCGCAGAUAUCAGGAGGAACACCAGCGGCGAAGGCGGCGCUCUGGGCCGGUACUGACACUGAGGAGCGAAAGCAUGGGGAUCAAACAGG